CAGAGUUGCAAAACUCCCAACCCUUUGUGAACGUACUGAAAAGUUGCUUCGGCGGGAGGCUCCUCAGGGAGCGGACCGCCGGAGGAAUCCAAACUCUUGUUUUUUUUGGCAUCUCUGAGUAGCUUAUAAAUAAGUUUA
rnacentral:misc_RNA from 1 species